UGGGAGGGACUGGGCCGGUCCGGGCGGUAUCUGUGUGGGCCUGGGAGCAGAGGAGAGCAUGGGAGCCAUCCUGUGAGCACUGUGCGUUGUCCUGGAGCACUGGGAGCACACGCUCAGAGGACAGGUCCCUGGAUUGCAGUGCUGCUCCAAUGGCCUGUGGUGGCUGCAGGCAGCCGCGGCCCGGGGAGCCCAAGACUCAGCGUGUGGAAGGGUUGGGAGCAGCCCUGGGUGCCUGCAAGGAUUCGGGAGGUCAGCUGAGCAGGCCCGAGCAGGUCUGAAACCCUGCCACGGAGAGGCACAGGCCCCGCAGCAGUGCCUGCAUUUCAGCAGCUGCCCAUCGGAGCUAAGCACAGCCUCGGCUCAGAGGUGAGGGCAUGGCUGUGAGAGUGCAGCUGUCACCAGCACCUGCUCCUCUCCGUGCUCCAGUGGGGCCAAACGUUUCAGAUCCACCGCUCCUCUGGGGACUGCAGCACUGGGGACUAAUUUGAGGGUGGGUUUGUGUUGGGUUGGUUGGUUUGGCUUUGGUUGUUUUUUUCCCAGGUGCCAAAGCAUCUGGGCCGUCUCUGAUCUCACUGAUCCCUUUUCUGUCAUAAAUGAAGCUUUACCAAAAAAGUUACAGUCGUGUCACUUCCAGCCUGAUCUGCAUGGCUUGAGCAGCCACUGCCAAAGAGCAAAGCCUUUGUCAGGGCUCUCGGAGCAGCUCGUUUGUUGUGUGUGUGAAAAAGGCAACCAAGUGUCAGGGGUUGUCUUUCCCAUCUUCUGGUGGGGUGCUCUGACGUGCUUUAUUUCUGUCUGGCUGUCACUGGUACGUGUCCCUGGCAGCUCAGGAGCAUGUCUGCUGGGCAGUGCUGGGGGCCAGGCGUCCCUCCUGUGUGUGCAUGGCCCACAUGGCAGCACCCUGCAGUCAGAGCUGACUGUGUGCACUGGAGGUGGAGUGUUGGAGUGGGAUCAGCUCAGAGCUCUGCAAGGUUUGCACUUUGCUUUCCACUCCACUGGCCAAGCCAGCCAGAUGUGCAGCAGCAGCAGGAUGGGCACGAGGGCCCCAGCUGCUGCGGUGAAUCCGUCAGCACGGACGCUGGUGCCGCUGCAGCCUGGCCCUGCAGCCUGGCAGGGUGAUCUCCUUUGGCUCGGCUCCUGUGGGCUCCAGAUGCUGACAGAGCAGCUGGAUGAGCAGAAAGCCUCUCGUGCAAACGGCUGUGGAGUGCUUCUCUCUGUUCCCUGCUGCUGGGAGGUGCUGACAGGUUAGGGUUUGCAGGGAGGCAGAUCUCGCGGAGCAGGGCUGAACUCACUGUGCAAGGACACUGCACAAUCCAGUGUGGAUCAAAAGCGAGUGACAACUUUAUUUAGUAGCCACACGCUUAUAUGUGUUACAGAUAAUUUAUGCAUACAUGUAAGAAGCUAAAUGGCUGAAUCCCUAAAUACCCCAUUUGCUCUGCUUGAGUUGUCUGCUGACUCAUCAAGGACAGUGCCUCCCUGGCUAGUUAUAUUAAAUGCUGCCUUUGUUUAUUCAAUAUGUCUUUGUUUCUGUGUGGCCUAGCACAGCCUUAAUUUAGUUCCAUAUACUCAUCCUGCUUGCCCACUUCUAAGUCAUGUCCAUUUUCCUUUAGCCAUUCUGCAACAAGGGUUAGUGGAGGGGUGUGAAGAAUUUGCAGGGAUCUCUAAGGGUCUGCAGACACCUUUGAAAGGUCUGAAGUUGUCUGUAGAUGUCUCUAGGGUGCUGCAGGGGUCUGCAGGCACCUCUUAAAUGUCUGGAGGGGUCUGUAGCUGUCUGUAGAGGUCUCUAGAGCUUUGUAGAGGAAUGUGGGUGCCUGCAGCUGUCUCUAGGGGUGUGUGGAGGUCUGCAGGCACCUUUCAAAUGUCUGGAGGGGUCUGCAGAGCUCUGUCAGGGUCUGUAGAUUUUGGCAGGGUUCUGUAGGAGUCUCUGGGCAACUUUUAAAGGUGUGGAGGGGUCUGCAGGUGCCUGUUGAGCUUUGUCCAUGUCUGUGGUGGUGUGUAGGUGAGUGUGGGUGUCUGCAGAGGUGUGAAGGGGUCUGUAGCUGUUUGUCAGGGUCUGAGAGAGUCUGCAGAGGUCUGUAGAGUUGAGUAGGUGUUUGGAGGUUUCUGUGUGGGUCUGUAGGUGCCUGCAGGCAUCAUUGAAGGCUCUGGAGGGGUCUGUAGAUGUGUGCAGGGGUCUGUUAAAUAUCUGGAGGGGUCUGAAGGGGUCUGGGGAGCUCUGUAGGGGUCUGUAUGUGUUUGCAGGCACCUGCAGGGGUCCGUAGAUGCCUGUAGGGAUUUGCAGGGCUCUGUUAGUUCUCUGCAGAGGUCUGCCUGGGUCUGGAGGUGCCUUUUAAUGGGUCUGUGGAGGUCUGGAGGGCUCUGCAGUGGGCUGCAGUGGUCUGUUAAAGGUGUGGAGGGGUCUGUAGGUGUCUGCAUUCAGUGAAGGAGUUCUUUGGCUCCAGGACACUUUUGUCCAGUGUCUCUAAAGUGUGACUGUCCCAAAUGAGAUAGAGGUGCACUGGCAGCGUGUUUGCAGAUGGCCCCAAGCUGAGUGGUGCUGGAGAGCAAGCCGAGGGGCAGGAUGGCAUCCAGGAAACACCUGGGCAGGCAGGGGAGCUGGGCCCAGGCGAAGCUUGUGAGGUUCCAGGAGAGCAAGGGCAGGGUGCUGCGUGUGGGCGGGAGGAAGCCUGCCUGUGCCUGCGGGCUGGGGGCGGAGGCGAUAAAGAGCAGCCCUGGGGGUGCUGGGGAGAAGCUGAGUGCGAGCACAUGGUGUGAGCUUGCAGGCCAGGAGGAGCCUGUCGGUGUCUGCAGGGCUGUGCAAGCAGCUGUAGGAGUCUGCCCAGGUCUGUAGGUGUCUGCAGGGGUCUUCUAAAAGGCCUGGAGGCUUUUCUGAGUGUGCAGAGGUGUGCGGGGGUCUGGAGGCAUCUGUAGGUACCCUUAGGGGCCUGGAGGGCUCUCUGGGAGUCUGUGGAGCUCUCUGGGUGUCUGUGGAGGUGGUUAGGGGUCUGUAGAGGUGUCUGUGGUGCUGUAGGUGUCUCAAACGGCUGUGAAGGUCUUGAGGUGCCUUGCAAAGGUCUCGAGGUGUCUGUAGGGGUCUGCAGGGUUCUCUGGCAGUCUGUAGAGGUCUGUGGGGGUCUCUAGGGGCCUCUUAAAGACAUGUAGGGGUCUGCAGGGCUCUAUGGAAAGGUCGGGAGGGGUCCCUAGAGGUCUCUAGGAGGCUGGAGGGGUGUGCAAGUGUCUGUAGCAUUCAGCAGGGGUGUGGAGGUUUCUGUUCUGGGCCCGCAGGUGUCUGCAGGCAUCUUGUAAAGGUCUGCAGGGGUCUGUGGAGCUCUGUCAGGCAUCUGUUAAGUGUCUGCAGGAAUGCAUUCAAGGUGUGGAGGGGGCUGCAGGGCUCUGCAGAGGAGGCUGUGGCUGUGUGUAGAGGUCUUAGGGGUGUGAAGAGUUUGCAGGGGUCUGUAAGGGUCUGCAGAGCCCUUGGAAAGGUCUGAAGUUGUCUGUAGGAGUCUGGAGAUGUCUCUAGGGCUCUGCAGGGCUCUGCUGCUGCGGGAGGAGUGGGCUGGCGGAGCCACGCCCCCCGGGCUGCGGAGCCACGCCCCCUCCCUGGCCUUUCUUGCCUGGCUCUGGUUGCUGCCUCUUUAUUUGCAUAACCACACCCCCUUUCCGUAGCCACGCCCCCUCCCCAUGCUGCGCCUGGCCCCGCCCCCUCGGCCCCGCCCCCGCCCCCCAGUAACUAAUUAUAUGGUGACAGAUUUGGAGCUUCCUUUGGAGGAGGAGUUCAGGAGGUGGCUGCUGAUUGGUGGAUUGUGAUGGGCGUGGUUUGCCGCUUGUUCUGCCUCCCUCAUUUGCAUACAUUUCAAUAUCAGGCUCUGCCUUUGAGUACCUUGGAGAUGUGUUGGGGGUUGGGGAGGGGUUACCGGGAGGGUCAGCAGCUGAUUGGUGGAUCCUGUGGGGGCUGUGGGCAUGGUCACCCCUGUGCCCCGCCCCCUCAUUUGCAUAAACGAAGGCAGGGUCCACCUGGCAGAGUUUGGUGCUUUAUUGGGGGGGGGAACUGGUUAGGACGGGGAGGGUCAGCAGCUGAUUGGUGCGUCCUCUGGCGUGGGCGGGGCCUGCCCCUGCCCCGCCCCUCCGAAGCGCUCGAUGGUCUCCAGCACAGCCCCAGCAGCUCCAGGAAGGAGGAGACCUCCCCCCGCAGGCCUCCAGCCCCCCGGGAGACCCAGAGCCUGCGGGGGGAGGGCUCAGGGACCCCCAGACCCUCCCAGGGACCUCCAAUAACCUCCCAGGGACCUCUGAUGACCUCUCGGGGACCCCCAGACCCUCCCAGGGACCCUCAGACCCUCCUAGGGACCACCCAGGGACCCGCAGACCCGCCCACUGGCCUCCCAGAGACCCCCACUCACCUCCUUGUAUGCCCCCACUAAUCCCCCAGCCCCUCCCCGUCCCCGCCCAGCGCCCCCCAGUGCCCACUCAGGCCCUCAGCUUGUCCCCGCAGCACUGCAGCCUGGCCUGGGGGCGCUGCUGAGGCCUCCCCCAGGGCCGGGCUGGGGGCUGCAGGCCUGGGCCCAGCGCCCUCAGUGCCACCUGUGCCAGGCCAGCAGGCAGCGGCAGCAGCACCUCCCUGGCAGGGCAGGUCAAGGAGCCUCGGGGGAGGGACCCCAGCACCCCCCAGCGUCCCCCCAGUCCCCUCCCACUGCUCCCAGUCCCCCCCAGGCACCCCUGGGACUCUCUACGGCACCCACAGACCCUUCCCCUCCCCCCCAGCCACCUCUGACCCCCGUCAAAACCUCACCCGGGGACCCCCAUGACACCCCCAGACCCUCCCUCUGCUCCACUGCCCCCUCCCCCCAGCCACCUCGGACCCUUCCCAAGGCGCCCCCAAACCCCCCCAACCCCGGGGCCGCCUACAACACCCCCAGACCCUCCCCCUACCCCCUUCAGCCACUUCGGACCCCCCCCAAAUCCCCCUGCGACCCCCCCAAGCGCCCCUGGCAACCACUGACUCAUCCCCAGACCCUCCCCCCACUGCUCGCCCCCCCCCCAGCCACCUCAUCCCCCCCCCCCGGGACUCCUCAAACCCCCCUGGGGCCCCCCCGAAGCCCCUCUGGGACUCUCCAAAACCCCCCAGCCCCUUCCCCCGCUCCCCCCCGAGCCCUCUCGGACCCCUCCCGGGACCCCCCAACUCCGCCUAAGACCCCCCCGGGGCUGGGUACAGCCGCAGCAGCUCGCUCCGCGCCGCCAUCUUGCCUCCGUGCCGUCACUUCCGGCUGGCAGGCGACGCUCUGGGCUCUCCUCUCGCUGGUCAAAGCCGGUCUAGGCCUCGGAGGUCCUCCAGGCGCCACUGCGAGCGGCUCUGGGCCAAAGCAAUGUCUGUGCUCAGCUGCAGGGAUGGAUUUGCCUGCACUCAAGCUGCUGCUGCCAGAGCCCCUCCGUGUCAAUCUGUGCUGCCGUUGGGUUCUGCAGCUCUCUCCAGCAAGCAUGGCAUGAGCUGAAGGAGCAGCAGGAGCAGCAUGGCCGUUCCCCAGGCAGCAGGAGGGUUCAGCCCAGCACCAGCUCAUGCGGGAGGAGCAGAUGCUGAGGGACAUCCCCCACGAGACGCAGGUGGCCAAAGAGGCUGGGUCAGGUGCCAAAAAGGAGAGCUUCUUCACCUGCUUCUCCUGUGCAAGCUCUUCUGUCUGUCUGCUGAGAUGUUUCUGCCUGUUUCUCUGGCAGAGAAGUGUUUGCUUUUUGGGCUGGCGAGCUGACCAUCCGUACUACCGUCGCCUUGAAUGCCUCCAACCAGCAGUGUUUGCUGCCAGACAGACACCUGGAGAAGACAGAGGACAUGGUUAAGUUCAUGAAGGAUAUCUUGGAUGGUGCUGCUGAAGCACAGGCUGGUGAUGGACUUCUGCAACGAAGCAAGAGAGUCAUCUAUGAGGCCAAGGCUGCUGUAAUGAAAGCAGGAGUCAGCCACCUGCCACCCAUCCCCUCCUGACCCCAACCCCAGAAACCCAAAGCAGCACUUGGCACAGGAGGUCUCUCGUGUUGCAGUCUCAACUUCAAGCCCUGGAAUACUUUGCUUCAGCCAGCAGCAUGGGGUUGGAUACCAACAGCAGAGUCGACUUAACCUGUGACUAAGUGAACUUUAAGUGUUCUGACUCCACAGUGGAACCUGAUAAAGAAAGAUGUGAAUGGAA